CAGUCAACCAACAAACCUCUUAAUCAGUUAUUUUCCUUAUUGUUUGCUAUUUUUCUUCAUCUGUGAAGUGAUACCUGUCAUGUUUAGAAUCUCCAUAGCUCUCCUUCGUGUAAACUUGCAAAAUCUUCUGAGGACUUGGCCAGGUCUGGUUCUAGAUAUUGCAACACUUAGUGAGACAACAAAUAACAUCUACAGGAAUGUCCAGCUGUAGAGCAAAAGUUUCCCACGCUGAAACCAUACUUGGUACUGGUUGUAAACUGCCCUGGUGCUGCCUGAGUCCUCCGUGGAGCUGGGCUGAAAAUUUUACCUUGCUGGUACCAGUAUGCUAAAGUAUGCAUCUGGAAGAAUCAUUG